GUAGUACUGAGGAGUCCCACAAUAGGACGAAACGACCGUCGAUUGC
rnacentral:hammerhead_ribozyme from 1 species